GACGAACGCUGGCGGCGUGCUUAACACAUGCAAGUCGAACGGUAAGGCCCUUCGGGGUACACGAGUGGCGAACGGGUGAGUAACACGUGGGUGAUCUGCCCUGCACUUCGGGAUAAGCCUGGGAAACUGGGUCUAAUACCGGAUAGGACCACUGCCUGCAUGGGUGGUGGUGGAAAGCUUUUGCGGUGUGGGAUGGGCCCGCGGCCUAUCAGCUUAUUGGUGGGGUGAUGGCCUACCAAGGCGACGACGGGUAGCCGGCCUGAUAGGGUGACCGGCCACACUGGGACGGAGGUACGGCCCAGACUCCUACGGGAGGCAGCAGUGGGGAAUAUUGCGCAACGGGCGCAAGCCUGAUGCAGCGACGCCGCGUGAGGGAUGACGGCCUUCGGGUUGUAAACCUCUUUCAGCACCGACGAAGCGCAAGUGACGGUAGGUGCAGAAGAAGGACCGGCCAACUACGUGCCAGCCGCCGCCGUAA
rnacentral:rRNA from 1 species